AUUGAACGCUGGCGGCAUGCCUUACACAUGCAAGUCGAACGGUAACAGGUCUUCGGAUGCUGACGAGUGGCGAACGGGUGAGUAAUACAUCGGAACGUGCCCGAGGGUGGGGGAUAACGAGGCGAAAGCUUUGCUAAUACCGCAUACGAUCUCAGGAUGAAAGCAGGGGACCGCAAGGCCUUGCGCUCACGGAGCGGCCGAUGGCAGAUUAGGUAGUUGGUGGGAUAAAAGCUUACCAAGCCGACGAUCUGUAGCUGGUCUGAGAGGACGACCAGCCACACUGGGACUGAGACACGGCCCAGACUCCUACGGGAGGCAGCAGUGGGGAAUUUUGGACAAUGGGCGCAAGCCUGAUCCAGCCAUGCCGCGUGCAGGAUGAAGGCCUUCGGGUUGUAAACUGCUUUUGUACGGAACGAAAAGACUCCUUCUAAUAAAGGGGGUUCAUGACGGUACCGUAAGAAUAAGCACCGGCUAACUACGUGCCAGCCGCCGCGGUAAAAC
rnacentral:rRNA from 1 species